CCCUUAGAUGUUCUGGGCUGCACGCGUGCUACACUGAUUACUUCAACAAGUGUUUUAACUGGAGAGUUCGCGUAAUCCUGAAAUGUUAUCGUGAUGGGAGUAGAGUAUUGUAUUUGUUAAUCUUUAACGAGGAAUUCCUAGUAAGUGUAGGUUUAUAAGUUGUUCUGAUUACGUCCUUGCCCUUUGUACACACCGCCCGUCGCUCCUACCGAUUGAUUGAUCCGGUGAAUUACAUAGAAUUUUGCGUUUUACAUGACGGAAGAUGAAGUGUUUUAAACCUUAUCAUUUAGAGGAAGGAGAAGUCGUAACA
rnacentral:rRNA from 1 species